UUCUCCCUCUGACUCCUGCAUUCGCAGGAAUCAACGACUUCCUCAGGUGGAGGGAGAGGGCUGGGAUGCAAGUCAAUAAUUACAGGCAGCAUCUCUCAGAAAACAAAGCACAAGAGGAGGAACAGCAACUCUAGCAACUGUCCAGUGCCUUCUGGAGGAGGCCCCCAAGGUCCCGAGUUUCAGGGAAACAAUAAGGCGGGGAGCUGAUUAGAGAGGAAUCACCCUGGCCCGGCCCGUGGGCGGCUCCUGCAUUCCCUGGGUUUCUCCAUCACCCAUCAGGCAGGACGGCACCCCCGAGUGGUAAAAGAUUGUUCCCUCCACCAUAGCCAUGCAGCAGCACAGCCGAGGCAGUGCAGCAGCUGCCCCUGAAGGUGCUAUCAAAGGAGACCAUUGAGAGGGCUGAGCCCAGUGCCUGGCGUGAACGAUCAGUUUUGCCUGCCUAUGAGCUUCAUAAAAAUGGACUCAUACAAUAGGUGCUCUUUGGUGGCUGGCUUCUUGCAAUUUGUCCAUGUUGUUGUGCAUGUCGUCAUUUGUUCUUUUACACAGCUGUAUAGUAUUCCACAGUGUGACUAUGACCGUUUGCUCAUCCAUUGAACUAGGUAUCCUCCUCCUCCUUCUCCUCCUAUUUCACAAAUGCGGAAGCUGGGGUUCUAGGCUGCUCCCUAAGUUUUCAGCCUGAAGUCACAGAAUGAGGUUGACACUGAGCAGGGAUCGCAACUCUCUGACUCCAAAACCAGCUCCUCACCCUGGGCAUCG
rnacentral:lncRNA from 1 species